AGCCUGGAGGAAGGGGUUGGGACCUUCUGGACUGAGUAGUGGCUGAGCCAGUUAAAGCCUCUGUCCAAACUCCAUAAAGAUUCUGGUGGCAGGUGCGGAGACCCACCGGUCUGGCAGCCGCUGAAGACAAGCCUGGCAGAUAAUUUUCACAAUCAAGUUGCAUAGAAACCCUUCAUUCAUAAGGUAUAACAUCUGAGAUACAUCAAUGAAACAUUCAUGACCUCUACUUUUCUAAGCAGUAGGCAGUGGCUUUGAAACUGCCCAAUUUUUCUUUUCUUUGGAAAAAAAAGAUCAAAACAGCACCUGCAUGGAGACUGAAGUGCAUGGAUCUGCCAGUGCAGCUCUGUUUCUGUCUGCCUCUCAACACAAAACUUCAAGCUGCGGUCCAGGUGUAAGACAGAAGGACUGGAGGUGGUGCAGGAAGGCGGAACCACCUUUCCUCUGAGGAGACACGGUGGGUCUGAAGUCAGGAGGGGGAGAAAAAGGUAAAGGAAUGGAAGAGGAAGACACUGAGAAAGGCCUCCUGGAAGGAGAUUCUGGGAGAGCUGAGAGGGCUUUUUUUCUCAUGGUUGCCAAGGAGAUUUCUUCCUGUAGGCACCACAGGCCAUAAGCACACCCAAGACAGAGAUGCUUCCCUGGGGAACAGAGGGA